GCAGGUUGAAGCGCGGGUAAGACCGCGUGGAGGACCGAACCCACCUGGGUUGAAAACCGGGGGGAUGACCUGGGGCUAGGGGUGAAAGGCCAAUCAAAUUCCGUGAUAGCUGGUUCUCUCCGAAAUGCAUUUAGGUGCAGCGUCGGUCGAUUGCGUCGCGGGGGUAGAGCUACCGGAUGCUUGCGGGCCCUUGUUGGGUACCAACAGCAGCCGAACUCCGAAUACCGUUGACGUGUAUUCCGGCAGUGAGUCGGCGGGGGAUAAGCUCCGUCGUCGAGAGGGAGACAGCCCAGACCGUCGUCUAAGGUCCCGAAGCGUGUGCUAAGUGGGAAAGGAUGUGGAGUCGCAUAGACAGCCAGGAGGUUGGCUCAGAAGCAGCCAUCCUUGAAAGAGUGCGUAACAGCUCACUGGUCUAGUGGUUCCGCGCCGACAAUGUAGCGGGGCUCAAGCACACCACCGAAGACGCGGCAGCAAUCUUCAUGGUUGCUGGGUAGGAGAGCGUCCUGCGAGGGGCGAAGCGGCCGGGUAACCGUGCCGUGGACUUCGUGGGAGUGAGAAUGCAGACAUGAGUAGCGAGAGACGGGUGAGGAUCCCGUCCGCUGGAUGACCAAGGGUUCCGGGGCCACGUUCGUCGUCCCCGGGUGAGUCGGGUCCUAAGGCGAGGCCGACAGGCGUAGUCGAAUGGAUGAACGGGUGGAUAUUCCCGUACCGACCAUGGACCGGCAAAACCGAGACGGUGAGUACUAACCUCCGCCUCGUGGUGGUUCCUUCCUUCGGGUUGGUUCCGUCGCGUGGUGUUGGGAGCGUAGCCGCAGUAGGUCAGCGCAGGGGUGACACGGAAUGGGAGCCGGCCGCGGAGGUGGUUUUCCGUGGUCAAGCACGCAGCCAGUCAUGUAGGCAAAUCCGCAUGGCAUGCAUGGCGAGGUGUGAUGAUGGGAGCCGUUAUGGUUCGAUAUCCGGUUGUCCAGGCCGUCGAGAAAAGCCUCGGCGUGAGGGCCAUGGCCGCCCGUACCCCAAACCGACACUGGUGGUCAGGUAGAGAAUACCAAGGCGAUCGAGCGAAUCCUGGUCAAGGAACUCGGCAAAUCACUCCCGUGCCUUCGGUAUAAGGGAGACCCACUGGGGUGAAGGACCUUGCGUCCGGAGCUUUGGUGGGUGGCACAGACCAGGGGGUAGCGACUGUUUACCAAAAACACAGGUGCAUGCGAAGGCGAAAGCCGCUGUAUAUGCACUGACGCCUGCCCGGUGCCGGAAGGUUAAGAGGAUCCGUCAAUCCCUUCGGGGACGAAGCGGUGAAUUCAAGCCCCGGUAAACGGCGGUGGUAACUAUAACCAUCCUAAGGUAGCGAAAUUCCUUGUCGGGUAAGUUCCGACCUGCACGAAUGGCGUAA
rnacentral:rRNA from 1 species